rnacentral:rRNA from 1 species
GAUGAACGCUAGCGGCAGGCCUAACACAUGCAAGUCGAGGGGUAGAACACUUCGGUGUUUGAGACCGACGCACGGGUGCGUAACGCGUAUGCAAUCUACCUUGUACAGGGGAAUAGCCCAGAGAAAUUUGGAUUAAUGCCCCAUAGUAUAUAACCUUCGCAUGUUGGUUAUAUUAAAGUUCCAACGGUACAAGAUGAGCAUGCGUCCCAUUAGUUAGUUGGUAAGGUAACGGCUUACCAAGACGAUGAUGGGUAGGGGUCCUGAGAGGGAGAUCCCCCACACUGGUACUGGGACACGGACCAGACUCCUACGGGAGGCAGCAGUGAGGAAUAUUGGUCAAUGGGCGCAAGCCUGAACCAGCCAUGCCGCGUGUGUGAAGAAGGCCUUCGGGUUGUAAAGCACUUUAGCCUGGAAAGAAAAAACUUUAGUUAACACCCAAAGUCUUGACGGUACCAGGAGAAUAAGCACCGGCUAACUCUGUGCCAGCCGCCGCCGUAACAC